AGAAACAAUAAAGAAAAUUAUUCAAUUUUUUUAUCCUUUCUCUUGUUUUGUAGUUAAUAACCAUUUUAUUUUAUUUAUUUAUUUUUAUCUUGAUUGAGUAGUACUAUAUUAUUAUUUGUUUCAGUGCUAUUUUAUUUGUUCUUCCUAAAUGACAAAUGUACUCUCAUUCUGUUGAUUGUAAUUUUUAUUUACUUGUUUGUUAUUAUUUUAUUGUCCUUAAUUAGAUUAAAUGAGCUAAUUAAA
rnacentral:lncRNA from 1 species